GGUUCUAUAGUGUAGCGGUUAGCACAUCUGCUUUACACGCAGAAGGUCCUGGGUUUGCGCCCCAGUAGAGCCA
rfam:Pteropus alecto contig49749, whole genome shotgun sequence.